UACGGGGGGAGCAAGCGUUGUUCGGAUUUACUGGGCGUAAAGGGCGCGUAGGCGGCCACCGCAAGUCGACUGUGAAAUCUCCCGGCUCAACUGGGAGGGUGCGCCGAAUACUGAGUGACUAGAGUGCGGGAGAGGAAAGUGGAAUUCCUGGUGUAGCGGUGAAAUGCGUAGAUAUCAGGAGGAACAUCGGUGGUGUAGACGGCUUUCUGGACCGUAACUGACGCUGAGACACGAAAGCGUGGGUAGCAAACAGG
rnacentral:rRNA from 1 species